AAUUUUUAUUGCUUCCCCAAAGCAUUUCAAUGGAUAAACAAAAUAUGAUGGCAGAACAAUGUCAAAACUUUUAACACUCAAGCAUAGAUGUUUCCUAUGUGAAAAAUAAAAAAUAAAGAUUAGAUGAUCUUCAAAGAUAUCAUCCAAGAAAAAUUCCCUUGACCACAGAGCAGAGAAGAAAAAGAUAGAAAUAGAAGACAGAUUUGCACUGGCCAAAAGUAGGAUGCAGCUCCUAAGAUUCUUUCUGUAGGUACGCUAGCCCCUAAAUUGCAGACUGUUACUACUUAACUUGGUUCUGGUGGCACCACUUUCAAGCUUCGUAUCCACUCACAGAAACUAGGAUCAUCAAAGUGAAUAAAGCAGCAUUUUAGCUUUGUUCGUUGUUCUGUUGUCAAAGAUCGAAGCUGUGGGAAUCUUGCCUC
rnacentral:misc_RNA from 1 species